UAAGCGGAGGAAAAGAAACCAACAGGGAUUGCCCCAGUAAUGGCGAAUGAAGCGGCAAGAGCCCAAAUUUGAAAUCGGGCAACCGAGUUGUAAUUUGGAGACGGGACACUAGAGAGGAGGAAGGCGAUUAAGUGCCUUGGAACAGGCUGCCGUAGAGGGUGAGAGCCCCGUGAAUCGCUGGAGACCGAUCAAUUAGUGCCCGCCGAAGAGUCGAGUUGUUUGGGAAUGCAGCUCUAAGUGGGUGGUAUAUUCCAUCUAAGGCUAAAUAUUAGCGAGAGACCGAUAGCAAACAAGUACAGUGAUGGAAAGAUGAAAAGAACUUUGGAAAGAGAGUGAAAUAGUACGUGAAAUUGUUGAAAGGGAAGGGUAUUUGAUCCGACAUGGUGUUUAGCAGCGGCCCGUUCCUCGUGGAUGGGUGCACCUGGUUUACACUGGGCCAGCAUCGGUUCUGGGAGCCAUAUACGGGGUUCGUGAAUGUGGCCCUUCGAUUCUGUCGGAGGGUGUUAUAGCGCGGACAUCUUGUGGCUAGCCGGGACCGGGGACUGCGGUGACUUGUCACCAAGGAUGCUGGCAGAACGAGCAAAUACCACCCGUCUUGAAA
rnacentral:rRNA from 1 species